rfam:Homo sapiens chromosome 15, GRCh38 reference primary assembly.
GCCAGGCAUGGUGGUGCAUGCCUGUAAUCCCAGCUACCUGGGAGGCUGAGGUGGGAGGAUCGCUUGAGCCCAGGAGGUUGAGGCUGCAGAGAGCUAUGAUUGUGCCACUGCACUCCAGACUGGGCUACAGAGUAAGAUCCUGUCUCAA